GUAAGGAAUAUUGGUCAAUGGACGCAAGUCUGAACCAGCCAUGCCGCGUGAAGGAUGAAGGUCCUCUGGAUUGUAAACUUCUUUUAUCUGGGACGAAAACGGGAUUUUUAUCUCAAUUGACGGUACCAGAGGAAUAAGCACCGGCUAACUCCGUGCCAGCAGCCGCGGUGAUACGGAGGGUGCGAGCGUUAUCCGGAUUUACUGGGUUUAAAGGGUGCGUAGGUGGGCUUAUAAGUCAGUGGUGAAAUCUCCGAGCUUAACUUGGAAACUGCCGUUGAUACUAUAGGUCUUGAAUUAUCUGGAGGUAAGCGGAAUAUGUCAUGUAGCGGUGAAAUGCUUAGAUAUGACAUAGAACACCAAUUGCGAAGGCAGCUUACUACAUAUAGAUUGACGCUGAGGCACGAAAGCGUGGGGAUCAAACA
rnacentral:rRNA from 1 species